ensembl:lncRNA
UCUUCUCAUUCUCUGCCUAGAAAGGUGAUGGUGCUCAGCCAGAGACACACAGAAAGAUGGGCUGGCAGUGGAAGUGGACAAAAGGCCUCUGGGGAGUCAGCUGGUCUCUGCUACGCACUGCCCACACCACGAUGCCCUCCCUGCAGAGAUGUGCCUGGACCGUGUGUUGGAGUCCAGCUACACGGCCAUCUCAAACCUGCCUGGGGUGAGCAGGCAGGCAAGGCUUGCUUGUUCAUUCCUUGCACAAGUAAAAUUUCUGCUGAAGAAACACAGCAGCCUGGUAUUUAUUCCUCUCCAGUUCAUCUUCCAGCAACUUAGUACACAGGUUGGACUAGUCACCAAAGAAAAGCCAGUUUCUCAAGGUGAAACUUCUUAGCAUGAGACAGAUAGGAGAUGGCUUCCUGCUUCCUGCCCAGAGGAAGCCGUGUUCCACCCUGUGAACUUUUCCAUGGCAAUUUCUGGCUGCUUGUCAGGAGGAAGUUGUUAAUUGCCUUUUAAAUAUCUUCUCAGUAGUGAAUGAGUCCUAACUGCUCUUAAUUUCUCUCUGGCUAUUGUCCUGGCCUUACCAUUUGGCAUUUCUGAUGAUCUCAGGCAGGGGUCAUCAAUAUGUAAGUGAACAUCCCUACAGAAGGCAAUGGCAAAGCUGGGGUAGAUUUGCUCCGGCCAGAAUCCACAGCCAGAAAAGAAGAGCUGUGCAUGUUCCCCGCCAUGUGGAUCAAGAUCACUGUGUGGAUAACCUGUGGAAAUAAAGGGUUACCAAGCAUUAUAAGGAAUUCCCUGGGUGGCCUGCAAACUUGACCCUUCUUCUAGUCACAGAUAGUGUCACCGGAUCACCACUUACUGUGUGACUUUCAGAAAACCUCUUAACCUCUCUAUGCCUCGGCAGAGUUUUUUCAUAUAUAAAGCAUGGAUAAUAAUGGGCUCAGUGUUUAAUCAUGUCUGGCUCUUGCAACUCCUUGUACUGUAGUUCAGCAGGCUCCACUCUCCUUGGGAUUUUCCUGUCAAGGUUACUGGAGUGGGUUGCCAUUUCAUCCUCUAAGGGAUCUUCCCUAUCCAGGGAUCAAACCUGCAUCUUCAGGCAGGCAGAUUCUUUACCACUGACCCACCUGGGAAUCCCAUGGGUAAUAAUAGUCCCAACCAAAUAAGGUUUCUACAAAAACCAUGCAGUGAUUCAUAUUAGACCCAUAACAGUGUCUGGAACAUAACAGUUGCUCAAUUAAGUUGAUCCAUCAGUAUCAUCCUUGUUUUCAAUCUUUCAAUCCUAGAAUUUUUUUUUUCCUGCCACACACUUUUAUAUCUCUUUUGUUUCCAAGUUCAAAUUCUGCUGGUGCUAUUUUUUUUAUUGUUGGUUCACAUCACGUUCCUCCAUUCUUCAUCUUCUUUUUUUAACGUCUUUACUGUUUAUUUUAUGUAUACCAUAAACUUGACCCAUGUUAAGUAUACAACUCAAUAUUUUUAAAAUUAUGCUUACAUAGCUGUUUGAGCAGAACCAAAAUCCAGUUUCAGAACACUUCCAUCACCCCCAAUAAUACCACCGUUUAAGAAAUGGAUACACUCUGCAUUGCUGCCUCUUAGAUAAGUUCAGUUCAGUUCAGUUGCUCAGCAGUUUCUGACACUUUGCAACCCCAUGAGUCACAACACGCCAGGCCUCCCUGUCCAUCACCA